GGGGGUGUAGCUCAGCUGGGAGAGCGCCUGCCUUGCACGCAGGAGGUCAUCGGUUCAAUCCCGUUCACCUCCACCA
rnacentral:tRNA from 2 species